UGCCAGCCGCCGCGGUAAUACGGAGGGUGCGAGCGUUAAUCGGAAUCACUGGGCAUAAAGCGCACGCAGGCGGAUUGGAAAGUCGGUUGUGAAAGCCCGGGGCUCAACUCCGGAACUGCUUCCGAAACUUCCAGUCUAGAGGAUGAGAGGGGAGAGUGGAACUUCUGGUGGAGCGGUGAAAUGCGUAGAGAUCAGAAGGAACACCGGUGGCGAAAGCGACUCUCUGGCUCAUUUCUGACGCUAAGGUGCGAAAGCUAGGGGAGCGAACGGGGUUAGAUA
rnacentral:rRNA from 1 species